AGCUCCAGUAGCGUAUAUUAAAGUUGUUGCAGUUAAAAAGCUCGUAGUUGGAUCUCGGGUUGUCGGCUGCGGUUCAGGUUCAUGCCUGUCUACUGCUGUCGAUACCUAACCGGUGGGACGCUGUGGGUGCCCUUGACUGGGUCGCCUACUGCACCCGCUCAAUUUACUUUGAAAAAAUUAGAGUGUUCAAGGCAGGCUCACACGCCUGAAUAAUGGUGCAUGGAAUAAUAGAAUAGGAUCUCGGUUCUAUUUUGUUGGUUUUCGGAACUUGAGAUAAUGAUUAAGAGGGACAGACGGGGGCAUUCGUAUUGCGGUGUUAGAGGUGAAAUUCUUGGAUCGCCGCAAGACGAACUACUGCGAAAGCAUUCGCCAAGAAUGUUUUCAUUAAUCAAGAACGAAA
rnacentral:rRNA from 1 species